AUUGAACGCUGGCGGCAGGCCUAACACAUGCAAGUCGAGCGGAUGAAGGGAGCUUGCUCCUGGAUUCAGCGGCGGACGGGUGAGUAAUGCCUAGGAAUCUGCCUGGUAGUGGGGGAUAACGUCCGGAAACGGGCGCUAAUACCGCAUACGUCCUGAGGGAGAAAGUGGGGGAUCUUCGGACCUCACGCUAUCAGAUGAGCCUAGGUCGGAUUAGCUAGUUGGGGGGGUAAAGGCCUACCAAGGCGACGAUCCGUAACUGGUCUGAGAGGAUGAUCAGUCACACUGGAACUGAGACACGGUCCAGACUCCUACGGGAGGAAGCAGUGGGGAAUAUUGGACGAUGGGCGAAAGCCUGAUCCAGCCAUGCCGGGUGUGUGAAGAAGGUCUUCGGAUUGUAAAGCACUUUAAGUUGGGAGGAAGGGCAGUAAGUUAAUACCUUGCUGUUUUGACGUUACCAACAGAAUAAGCACCGGCUAACUUCGUG
rnacentral:rRNA from 1 species